GUGGGAAUGGUGCAGAAUCCGGCAGUAACAUGGGGAGCUGGGGCAGGAACUGAAAAUGGAACCAAGGACAAGUAAAACUGGAUCCCUGUCCAAUUUUCUACCAUCAUUCCUGGAGAAACGAGUGCACAAUGCCUGGAAGAUAGCUCAGGCUGGGGGUGACACACCAAUGAUGCAGCAGUGAGCGCUGGUGAGGAAGCAGCGAUGCAGGUUGCC